rnacentral:rRNA from 1 species
CCUACGGGCGGCAGCAGUCGAGAAUCAUUCACAAUGGGGGAAACCCUGAUGGUGCGACGCCGCGUGGGGGAAUGCAGGUCUUCGGAUUGUAAACCCCUGUCAUGUGGGAGCAAAUUAAAAAGAUAGUACCACAAGAGGAAGAGACGGCUAACUCUGUGCCAGCAGCCGCGGUAAUACAGAGGUCUCAAGCGUUGUUCGGAAUCACUGGGCGUAAAGCGUGCGUAGGCUGUUUCGUAAGUCGUGUGUGAAAGGCGCGGGCUCAACCCGCGGACGGCACAUGAUACUGCGGGACUAGAGUAGUGGAGGGGGAACCGGAAUGCUCGGUGUAGCAGUGAAAUGCGUAGAUAUCGAGAGGAACACUCGUGGCGAAGGCGGGUUCCUGGACAUUAACUGACGCUGAGGCACGAAGGCCAGGGGAGCGAAAGGGAUUAGAUACCCUAGUAGUC